GGAUCUCUCCUGAAGAUACGCUCCACUGGAGUCUACUACACGAGCUCAGGAUAGGGACCUGGUCUUCUCUGAGCAUAUACAACAGUAGGAUGAUACAUAUAGUUGUGAUAAGGACUUGGAAGUGGUUGGGCUUUGACACAAAUCAUUCUCAAGUGCAGAAAAUCCAACUAGAAUAUGGCCACACUAGUUAAUAUGCUGCCUGUUACAAUGAGAAGAAAGAAAGACAUCAGUGGCUUCAGGACAGGAGAAGAGACAGAAAAGAUGGAGAAAAGACUCCAGGGUCAAGUAAGGAAAGUGGAAGAAGUAUAAGUGCAGAGGAUGUUAUGGAUAGUAUUUUCCUCAAGGAACCAAAUCAGCAAGUAGCAGGUGAGCAAAGGCGUUAGAAGUGCUUAAUCUUACCAGAACUAUGAGAAUGAGAAAGAUUACUCAUUUGCAUUCUAUAGCUCAAAGUGUUAUUGGUGUUAUUAUAAUACUUUAUAAACAUUUUAUAACCCUCUUUGCAACAGGGUAAUAAAGUAUGUCAUCAAAUCAAUAUCUCUAUAAGCUGUGGUGGACCAUGAAACUUUGUAUUUAGAUUACUCCAAGAGUA